AUUGAACGCUGGCGGCAUGCCUUACACAUGCAAGUCGAACGGUAACGCGGGGCAACCUGGCGACGAGUGGCGAACGGGUGAGUAAUGCAUCGGAACGUGCCCAGUAGUGGGGGAUAGCCCGGCGAAAGCCGGAUUAAUACCGCAUACGACCUAAGGGUGAAAGGGGGGGAUCGCAAGACCUCUCGCUAUUGGAGCGGCCGAUGUCAGAUUAGGUAGUUGGUGGGGUAAAGGCCUACCAAGCCGACGAUCUGUAGCUGGUCUGAGAGGACGACCAGCCACACUGGGACUGAGACGCGGCCCAGACUCCUACGGGAGGCAGCAGUGGGGAAUUUUGGACAAUGGGCGCAAGCCUGAUCCAGCCAUGCCGCGUGCGGGAAGAAGGCCUUCGGGUUGUAAACCGCUUUUGUCAGGGAAGAAAUCUUCUGAGUUAAUACCUCGGGAGGAUGACGGUACCUGAAGAAUAAGCACCGGCUAACUACGUGCCAGCCGCCGCCGUAACAC
rnacentral:rRNA from 1 species